UAGUCUGGGAAACUGCCUGAUGGAGGGGGAUAACUACUGGAAACGGUAGCUAAUACCGCAUAAUGUCGCAAGACCAAAGUGGGGGACCUCCGGGCCUCAUGCCAUCAGAUGUGCCCAGAUGGGAUUAGCUAGUAGGUGGGGUAAUGGCUCACCUAGGCGACGAUCCCUAGCUGGUCUGAGAGGAUGACCAGCCACACUGGAACUGAGACACGGUCCAG
rnacentral:rRNA from 1 species